CCUACGGGGGGCUGCAGUGAGGAAUAUUGGUCAAUGGACGCAAGUCUGAACCAGCCAAGUAGCGUGCAGGAUGACGGCCCUCCGGGUUGUAAACUGCUUUUAGUUGGGAAUAAAAGGGGGCCCGUGGGCCCCGUUUUGUAUGUACCAUCAGAAAAGGGCCCGGCUAUUUCCGUGCCAGAAGCCGCGGUAAUACGGAAGGACCGGGCGUUAUCCGGAUGUUUGGGGUUUAAAGGGAGCGUAGGCGGGCUUUUAAGUCAGCUGUGAAAGUCCGCGGCUCAACCGUGGAAUUGCAGUUGAAACUGGAGGCCUUGAGUGCACACAGGGAUGCCGGAAUUCAUGGUGUAGCGGUGAAAUGCUUAGAUAUCAUGAAGAACUCCGAUCGCGAAGGCAAGUGUCCGGGGUGCAACUGACGCUGAGGCUCGAAAGUGCGGGUAUCAAACAGGAUUAGAUACCCCGGUAGUC
rnacentral:rRNA from 1 species